rnacentral:rRNA from 1 species
GGUGAACGCUGGCGGCGUGCUUAAGACAUGCAAGUCGAACGGCAGUCUUCGGACUGUAGCGGCGCACGGGUGAGUAACGCGUAACUGACCUACCCCAAAGUCGCGGAUAACGAUUCGAAAGAAUCGCUAAUACGUGAUGUGCUGUCAGAUUGUGUUCUGCCAGUAAAGAUUGAUUGCUUUGGGAUGGGGUUGCGUUCCAUCAGAUAGUUGGUGGGGUAAAGGCCCACCAAGGCGACGACGGAUAGCCGGCCUGAGAGGGUGGCCGGCCACAGGGGCACUGAGACACGGGUCCCACUCCUACGGGAGGCAGCAGUUAGGAAUCUUCCACAAUGGGCGAAAGCCUGAUGGAGCGACGCCGCGUGAGGGAUGAAGGUCUUCGGAUCGUAAACCUCUGAAUCAGGGACGAAAGACACUUCGGUGGGAUGACGGUACCUGAGUAAUAGCACCGGCUAACUCCGUGCCAGCCGCCGCAGUAACAC